GAUGAAGAACGUAGCGAAAUGCGAUAAGUAAUGUGAAUUGCAGAAUUCAGUGAAUCAUCGAAUCUUUGAACGCACAUUGCGCCCGCCAGUACUCUGGCGGGCAUGCCUGUUCGAGCGUCAUUUCAACCAUCAAGCCCCCGGCUUGUGUUGGGGACCUGCGGCUGCCGCAGGCCCUGAAAACCAGUGGCGGGCUCGCUGUCACACCGAGCGUAGUAGAUUUUCAUCUCGCUCAGGGCGUGCUGCGGGUUCCGGCCGUAAAAAGCCUUAUUUACCCAAGGUUGACCUCGGAUCAGGUAGGAAGACCCGCUGAACUUAAGCAUAUCAAUAAGCGGAGGA
rnacentral:misc_RNA from 1 species